rnacentral:rRNA from 1 species
GCAUGUGCUGUGAGCUCGAUGAGUAGGGCGGGACACGUGAUAUCCUGUCUGAAUAUGGGGGGACCAUCCUCCAAGGCUAAAUACUCCUGACUGACCGAUAGUGAACCAGUACCGUGAGGGAAAGGCGAAAAGAACCCCGGCGAGGGGAGUGAAAAAGAACCUGAAACCGUGUACGUACAAGCAGUGGGAGCACCCUUCGGGGUGUGACUGCGUACCUUUUGUAUAAUGGGUCAGCGACUUAUAUUCUGUAGCAAGGUUAACCGAAUAGGGGAGCCGGAGGGAAACCGAGUCUUAACCGGGCGUUAAGUUGCAGGGUAUAGACCCGAAACCCGGUGAUCUAGCCAUGGGCAGGUUGAAGGUUGGGUAACACUAACUGGAGGACCGAACCGACUAAUGUUGAAAAAUUAGCGGAUGACCUGUGGCUGGGGGUGAAAGGCCAAUCAAACCGGGAGAUAGCUGGUUCUCCCCGAAAGCUAUUUAGGUAGCGCCUCGUGAAUUCAUCUCCGGGGGUAGAGCACUGUUUCGGCUAGGGGGCCAUCCCGGCUUACCAACCCGAUGCAAACUGCGAAUACCGGAGAAUGUUAUCACGGGAGACACACGGCGGGUGCUAACGUCCGUCGUGAAGAGGGAAACAACCCAGACCGCCAGCUAAGGUCCCAAAGUCAUGGUUAAGUGGGAAACGAUGUGGGAAGGCCCAGACAGCCAGGAUGUUGGCUUAGAAGCAGCCAUCAUUUAAAGAAAGCGUAAUAGCUCACUGGUCGAGUCGGCCUGCGCGGAAGAUGUAACGGGGCUAAACCAU